UCAACUGGAGUAAGAUGGCGGAUUUUUUGGUGAACAGGAGCCACUUUGAGCUCUCUUUUUGUUUCAUCUUACUCUACCUAUUUCUUCUGCCUAUUCUCAUCCUUUGCCA